rnacentral:rRNA from 1 species
GACGAACGCUGGCGGCGUGCCUAACACAUGAAAGUGGAGCGACGAACCAGGCUUCGGCCUGGGGCAAAGCCGCGAACGGGUGAGUAACACGUGGGUAACCUGCCCUGAUGAUUGGGACAACCCGAGGAAACUCGGGCUAAUACCAAAUGUGCCCUUCGGCCACAAGGCCGCUGGGGAAAGGAAGCUUCGGCCUCCGCAUCUGGAUGGGCCCGCGGCCCAUUAGCUUGUUGGUGAGGUAACGGCUCACCAAGGCGACGAUGGGUAGCUGGUCUGAGAGGACGAUCAGCCACACUGGGACUGAGACACGGCCCAGACUCCUACGGGAGGCAGCAGUGGGGAAUCUUGCGCAAUGCGCGAAAGCGUGACGCAGCAACGCCGCGUGGGGGAAGACGGCU